rnacentral:tRNA from 1 species
UUUACCGAAGCUGAUAAUUAAAUAGCGCAUCUUUGUUAAUGAUGAGAAAGGAGGUUUAAAUCCUCUCGGUAAAG